UACGUAGGGUGCAAGCGUUUAAUCGGAAUUACUGGGCGUAAAGCGUGCGCAGGCGGUUUUGUAAGUUUGUCGUGAAAGCCCCGGGCUCAACCUGGGAAUUGCGAUGAAGACUGCAAGGCUUGAAUCUGGCAGAGGGGGGGUAGAAUUCCACGUGUAGCAGUGAAAUGCGUAGAGAUGUGGAGGAACACCGAUGGCGAAGGCAGCCCCCUGGGUCAAGAUUGACGCUCAUGCACGAAAGCGUGGGGAGCAAACAGGA
rnacentral:rRNA from 1 species